AUGAUGUCCCUCUCAAGAAUCUGUGUCUCUCAAAAUACAAGGGGAAGAAGAAGAAUGAACAUUAAUUACUACAUCGACAAAACAAAAAGAAUGCAUCGCUGUUCAAUAAAUAACCAAAAGGUGAGGAAGAAAAAGAUUUGCAGUGAGCAAUUAUGCAGCAAAAAGCUCCAUGCUACUUGAUCCUAAAACAAAGAGACCAGAAAUAUGUAGUAUGAUCUUCUUGAGCAGAGUGAUCAUGGUCUGUUUUCCAAUUUCAGAGCAGCAAAAGAAUGGUGAAGAGAAUAGCCAGAUUUGACAGGAACAAGCAUACAGCAAUUUUAGGUUGUGCAUUUGGUGAUGCUGGAGCUGCUGCAGUUCCACUACCUGAAGUUCCACUACCUGAAGUUCCACUACCUGGGCUAGAAGAUGGACCUCUCG
rnacentral:lncRNA from 1 species